UGCGAAUGAUGAAUAUCAA
rnacentral:snRNA from 1 species